UACGAAGGGGGCUAGCGUUGUUCGGAAUCACUGGGCGUAAAGGGCGCGUAGGCGGCUUUAUAAGUCGGGGGUGAAAGCCUGUGGCUCAACCACAGAAUUGCCUUCGAUACUGUUUGGCUUGAGACCGGAAGAGGUUAGUGGAACUGCGAGUGUAGAGGUGAAAUUCGUAGAUAUUCGCAAGAACACCAGUGGCGAAGGCGGCUAACUGGUCCGGUUCUGACGCUGAGGCGGCGAAAGCGUGGGGAGCAAACGGG
rnacentral:rRNA from 1 species